rnacentral:rRNA from 1 species
GAUGAACGAUGACAGAAAGCAUACCAAAGCAAGUAAACUAGAAAUAGGGUUUUUAAUUUAAGUUUGGGGACGGACGGGUGAGUAGCGCGUAAAGAACUAGCCUCACCAGAUAGGGACAACAUUGGAAAACGAAUGCUAAUACAUAAUAUUAUGAUAAUAGGGCAUCCUAUAAUUAUGAAAGCUAUAAGCGCUGUAAGAGAACUUUGCGUCCCAUAGCUAGUUAGAGAGGUAACGGCUCACCAAGGCGAUGAUGGGUAGCCGGCCUGGGAGGGUGAUCGGCCACAAGGGGACUGAGACACGGCCCUUACUCCUACGGGAGGCAGCAGUGGGGAAUAUUGGACAAUGGACCAAGAGUCUGAUCCAGCACUUCUGUGUGCACGAUGAAGUUUUUCGGAAUGUAAAGUGCUUUCAGUUGGGAAGAAAGAAAUGACGGUACCAACAGAAGAAGUGACGGCUAAAUACGUGCCAGCAGCCGCGGUAAUACGUAUGUCACGAGCGUUAUCCGGAUUUAUUGGGCGUAAAGCGCGUCUAGGUGGUUAUGUAAGUCUGAUGUGAAAAUGCAGGGCUCAACUCUGUAUUGCGUUGGAAACUGUAUAACUAGAGUACUGGAGAGGUAAGCGGAACUACAAGUGUAGAGGUGAAAUUCGUAGAUAUUUGUAGGAAUGCCGAUGGGGAAGCCAGCUUACUGGACAGAUACUGACGCUGAAGCGCGAAAGCGUGGGUAGCAAACAGG